AUAAUAACUUCUCGAAUCGCAUGGCCUUGUGCUGGCGAUGCUUCAUUCAAAUAUCUGCCCUAUCAACUUUCGAUGGUAGGAUAGAGGCCUACCAGUGGUUUCAACGGGUAACGGGGAAUAAGGGUUCGAUUCCGGAGAGGGAGCCUGAGAAACGGCUACCACAUCCAAGGAAGGCAGCAGGCGCGCAAACUACCCAAUCCCGACACGGGGAGGUAGUGACAAUAAAUAACAAUAUAGGGCUCUUUUGGGUCUUAUAGGGGGGAACGAGUACAAUUUAAAUCCCUUAACGAGGAACAAUUGGAGGGCAAGUCUGGUGCCAGCAGCCGCGGUAAUUCCAGCUCCAAUAGCGUUUAUUAAAGUUGUUGCAGUUAAAAAGCUCGUAGUUGAACUUCAGCCCUGGCCGGGCGGUCUGCCUCACGGUAUGUACUGUCUGGCUGAGGCUUACCUUCUGGUGAGCUUGCAUGCCGUUUAUUCGGUGUGCGAGGGAACCAGGACUUUUACCUUGAGAAAAUUAGAGUGUUCAAAGCAGGCAAAUGCCCGAAUACAUUAGCAUGGCAUAAUGGAAUAGGACGUGCGGUUCUAU
rnacentral:rRNA from 1 species